CCUACGGGAGGCUGCAGUGGGGAAUAUUGCGCAAUGGGCGAAAGCCUGACGCAGCGACGCCGCGUGAGGGAUGAAGGUCUUCGGAUCGUAAACCUCUGUCAGCAGGGAAGAACGGUCACUGUGCUAAUCAGCAGUGAAUUGACGGUACCUGCAAAGGAAGCACCGGCUAACUCCGUGCCAGCAGCCGCGGUAAGACGGAGGGUGCGAGCGUUAAUCGGAAUUACUGGGCGUAAAGCGCUCGUAGGCGGUAGGUCAAGUCAAGGGUGAAAUCCCCGCGCUCAACGUGGGGACUGCCUUUGAAAAUGGCAAACUGGAGUGUGUGAGAGGAUAGUGGAAUUCCAGGUGUAGGAGUGAAAGCCGUAGAUAUCUGGAGGAACAUCAGUGGCGAAGGCGACUAUCUGGCACAUAACUGACGCUGAGGAGCGAAAGCGUGGGUAGCAAACAGGAUUAGAUACCCUGGUAGUC
rnacentral:rRNA from 1 species